ensembl:snRNA U6 U6 spliceosomal RNA
UUGCUUCAGAAGCACAUACAGUAAAACUACAAUACUGAGAAGAUUAGCGUGGGCCCUGUGCAGGGAUGACAUGAAGAAGAAUAAAAAGGAGGAGGAUAAA